AGGUUAUUAGUGUAGCGGUUAUCACGUUUCGUUUACAAGCUAUUGCAGUAAGCACCGAAAAGGCCCCGAGUUCGAACCUCGGAUAACCUA